GACGAACGCUGGCGGCGUGCCUAAUACAUGCAAGUAGAACGCACAGUUUAUACCGUAGCUUGCUACACCAUAGACUGUGAGUUGCGAACGGGUGAGUAACGCGUAGGUAACCUGCCUGGUAGCGGGGGAUAACUAUUGGAAACGAUAGCUAAUACCGCAUAAUAUUAAUUAUUGCAUGAUAAUUGAUUGAAAGAUGCAACUGCAUCACUACCAGAUGGACCUGCGUUGUAUUAGCUAGUAGGUGAGGUAACGGCUCACCUAGGCGACGAUACAUAGCCGACCUGAGAGGGUGAUAGGCCACAAUGGGAAUGAGACACGGCCCAGACUCCUACGGGAGGCAGCAGUAGGGAAUCUUCGGCAAUGGACGAAAGUCUGACCGAGCAACGCCGCGUGAGUGAAGAAGGUUUUCGGAUCGUAAAGCUCUGUUGUAAGAGAAGAACGGGUGUGAGAGUGGAAAGUUCACACUGUGACGGUAUCUUACCAGAAAGGGACGGCUAACUACGUG
rnacentral:rRNA from 1 species